rnacentral:rRNA from 1 species
UACGUAGGAGGCAAGCGUUGUCCGGAAUUACUGGGUGUAAAGCGCGUGUAGGCGGCAGGCCAAGUCUGUGGUGAAAUCGCUCGGCUCAACUGGGCGGGGUCCAUGGAAACUGGUCAGCUGGAGGACGGUAGAGGUGAGUGGGAUUCCCGGUGUAGUGGUGAAAUGCGUAGAGAUCGGGAGGAACACCCGUGGCGAAGGCGGCUCACUGGGCCGGUCCUGACGCUGAGACGCGAAGGCGUGGGGAGCGAACGGG